UGCGCAGGCGGUUUUUUUAAGUCAGAUGUGAAAUACCCGGGCUUAACCUGGGGGGUGCAUUUGAAACUGGGGAACUUGAGUGCAGGAGAGGAAAGUGGAAUUCCUAGUGUAGCGGUGAAAUGCGUAGAUAUUAGGAGGAACACCAGUGGCGAAGGCGACUUUCUGGACUGUAACUGACGCUGAGGCACGAAAGCGUGGGGAGCAAACAGGAUUAGACUACCCUGGUAGUCCACGCCGUAAACGAUGGAUACUAGGUGUAGGGGGCGAUAGCUCUCUGUGCCGCAGCAAACGCAAUAAGUAUCCCCGCCUGGGGGAUACGAUCGCAAGGUUGAA
rnacentral:rRNA from 1 species